GGAUGCGAUCAUAGCAGCACUAAAGCACCGGAUCCCAUCUCAGAACUCCGAAGUUAAGCGUGCUUGGGUGAGAGUAGUACUAGGAUGGGUGACCUCGUGUUGCAUUCC
rnacentral:rRNA from 1 species